UACGUAGGGUGCGAGCGUUAAUCGGAAUUACUGGGCGUAAAGCGUGCGCAGGCGGUUUUGUAAGCCAGAUGUGAAAUCCCCGGGCUCAACCUGGGAAUUGCGAUGGAGACUGCAAGGCUAGAAUCUGGCAGAGGGGGGUAGAAUUCCACGUGUAGCAGUGAAAUGCGUAGAGAUGUGGAGGAACACCGAUGGCGAAGGCAGCCUCCUGGGCCAACACUGACGCUCAU
rnacentral:rRNA from 1 species